AUUGAACGCUGGCGGCAGGCCUAACACAUGCAAGUCGAACGAGUGGCGGACGGGUUAGUAAUGUCUGGGAAACUGCCUGAUGGAGGGGGAUAACUACUGAAAACGGUAGCUAAUACCUCAUACCAUCGUGUGUAGCCUGAUGGGCUUAGUUAUUAGGGGGGGUAAAGGCUCACCUAGGCGACGAUCCCUAGCUGGUCUGAGAGGAUGACCAGCCACACUGGAACUGAGACACGGGCCAGACUCCUACGGGAGGCAGCAGUGGGGAAUAUUGCACAAUGGGCGCAAGCCUGAUGCAGCAAUGCCGCGUGUAUGAAGAAGGCCUUCGGGUUGUAAAGUACUUUCAGCGGGGAGGCGUUACCCGCAGAAGAAGCACCGGCUAACGCCGUGCCAGCAGCCGCGGUAAUAC
rnacentral:rRNA from 1 species